CUACGUGCCAGCAGCCGCGGUAAUACGGAAGGUCCGGGCGUUAUCCGGAUUUAUUGGGUUUAAAGGGAGCGUAGGCCGGAGAUUAAGUGUGUUGUGAAAUGUAGACGCUCAACGUCUGACUUGCAGCGCAUACUGGUUUCCUUGAGUACGCACAACGUUGGCGGAAUUCGUCGUGUAGCGGUGAAAUGCUUAGAUAUGACGAAGAACUCCGAUUGCGAAGGCAGCUGACGGGAGCGCAACUGACGCUUAAGCUCGAAGGUGCGGGUAUCGAACAGGAUUAGAUACCCUGGUAGUCCGCACAGUAAACGAUGGAUGCCCGCUGUUGGUACCUGGUAUCAGCGGCUAAGCGAAAGCAUUAAGCAUCCCACCUGGGGAGUACGCCGGCAACGGUGAAACUCAAAGGAAUUGACGGGGGCCCGCACAAGCGGAGGAACAUGUGGUUUAAUUCGAUGAUACGCGAGGAACCUCACCCGGGCUUGAA
rnacentral:rRNA from 1 species